rnacentral:ncRNA from 1 species
GACUAUCAGCUAAGGCCCCUAAAUCUAUGUUAAGUUGGUUAAACGAUGUUCAAAUCCUAAGACAGCCAGGAUGUUGGCUUGGAAGCAGCCAUUCAUUUAAAGAGUGCGUAACAGCUCACUGGUCGAGGGUUCGGGCGCGGAAAAUGAUCGGGCAUCAAACAUAGUGCCGAAGCUAUAGGAUUGUACGCAAGUACAAUCGGUAGGAGAGCAUUCCAAUCUGCGUCGAAGGUGAGCGUGAGGCUUGUUGGAGCGAUUGGAAAAGAAAAUGUAGGAAUGAGUAACGAUAAACAAGGUGAAAAACCUUGUCGCCGAAAGACUAAGGGUUCCUGAUCAAUGUUAAUCAGAUCAGGGUUAGUCGGGACCUUAGGCAUACCCGAAAGGGGAAGUCGAUGGAGAAUGGGUUAAUAUUCCCAUACCACUGUUAUAUUCGAUGGAGUAACGCAGGAGUGAAAAGCACGCGGACUGACGGAAUAGUUCGUUAAAGGGCGUAGUUAUACGGUUUGUAGGCAAAUCCGCAGACUGUGACGAACCUGAUAGUACUCAAAGCUUCGGUGGCGAGAUAGUGGCUGUAAUCCGACUGCACGAGAAAAACCUCUAAGGUUCGUUCAUAACAACCCGUACCGUAAACCGACACAGGUAGUCGAGAUGAGUAUUCUAAGGCGCUCGGGUGAGCCGCGGAGAAGGAACUAGGCAAAUUAAUGCUGUAACUUCGGGAUAAAGCAUACCACAGCGAUGUGGUCACAGUAAAAUGGUUCAACCAACUGUUUAGCAAAAACAUAGGGCCCUGCAAAUUCGAAAGAAGACGUAUAGAGCCUGAUACCUGCCCGGUGCUGGAAGGUUAAGGAAGCUUGUCAGGAGUUAAAUCUGAAGCUUGC